rnacentral:rRNA from 1 species
UACAGAGGAUGCAAGCGUUAUCCGGAAUGAUUGGGCGUAAAGCGUCCGCAGGUGGUCAAAUAAGUCUGUUGUUAAAGCGUUAGGCUCAACCUAAUAAGGGCAAUGGAAACUAUUAGACUAGAGUACGUUCGGGGCAGAGGGAAUUCCCAGUGUAGCGGUGAAAUGCGUAGAGAUUGGGAAGAACACCGGUGGCGAAAGCGCUCUGCUAGGCCUGUACUGACACUGAGGGACGAAAGCUAGGGGAGCGAAUGGG